AUUUCCUUGGGGGCCUAUCUUGUGAACCUGGCUCUGGCAUUGCUCUGUAAGGGAAUUUCAGAGAGCAGGGUCAUUUGAUCCGGGGGGACUCUCCUCCAGACCAUCUAUAGAAUGGAUUAGUUGAUGGACAUCAGUCAUGAAGAAGCUGAUCUCUGAGAGAUGAGUAUGAAAAUGCACAUUGCUGGUAUCCAACAUCCUCUGGCCUCGGGGCAAUGUUGCAGAGGAUGAGAGUCCAUGAUGGAAGAGCAGAAAUGACAGCAGGGUGACACAUGGCUAGAGGAGCAACUGAGAGCUCAUGUUUUGAUCCACACUCAGGAAGGAGUAGUGAUAGAGUUGCUGAUGCUUCCUCCAAGUCUCCUCAAGAUUUCUCUCCACAUAGCCACAGUACCCUCUGCCAAGGGCCAUCCCAGAGCACUCCAGCGACAGGUGACCAUUGUGUAUUGGAACCUUCACUUGCUUUGCUUCUGCUGGACACAAGCACUUACUUUAUUGAACUAAACUCAAUGGAUUGAAACUAUGAAGCUUAUCAAUACUAAGUAUUAA
ensembl:lincRNA predicted gene, 19708